rnacentral:sRNA from 1 species
GAAAGGGGAGCAAUCCCUGAGUAGAGUGGCGUACAGGUGAGUAACACGUGGGUAAUCUACCCUUUGGUGGGGAAUAACCCUGGGAAACCGGGGCUAAUACCGCAUCGACCCCGAGAGGGGAAAGCCGAAAGGCGCCGAAGGAGGAGCCCGCGGCCGAUUAGCUCGUUGGUAGGGUAACGGCCUACCAAGGCCAAGAUCGGUAGCCGGCCUGAGAGGGCACACGGCCACUUUUGCACUGAAACACGGGCCGAACUCCUACGGGAGGCAGCAGUGGGACUCCUACGGGAUCACUCCCUGGGACUCNUGAAGGAGGCAGCAUGCGGUCCNUUACGGGAGU